rnacentral:rRNA from 1 species
UACGUAGGGGGCAAGCGUUGUCCGGAAUCAUUGGGCGUAAAGCGCGUGUAGGCGGUCCGGUAAGUCCGCUGUGAAAGUCGGGGGCUUAACCCUCGGAUGCCGGUGGAUACUGUCGGGCUUGAGUACGGAAGAGGCGAGUGGAAUUCCUGGUGUAGCGGUGAAAUGCGCAGAUAUCAGGAGGAACACCAAUUGCGAAGGCAGCUCGCUGGGACGUUACUGACGCUGAGACGCGAAAGCGUGGGGAGCAAACAGGG